rnacentral:rRNA from 1 species
UACGUAGGGUGCGAGCGUUAAUCGGAAUUACUGGGCGUAAAGCGUGCGCAGGCGGUUUUGUAAGUCAGAUGUGAAAUCCCCGGGCUCAACUUGGAACGGCCAGCUGAUACUGAUGUGCUAGAGUGCAGAAGGGGCAAUCGGAAUUCUUGGUGUAGCGGUGAAAUGCGUAGAUAUCAAGAGGAACACCUGAGGUGAAGACGGGUUGCUGGGCUGACACUGACGCUGAGGCGCGAAAGCCAGGGGAGCAAACGGG